rnacentral:lncRNA from 1 species
UUGUUACAUCCACCGGGUUUGGUUCCUUCCUUUAAUCAAUGUUAGCCACCCAAGUGUUUGGCCUCUAGAGGUGAUCCACCAAGAAAGAAGAAAGAUUCAAGAAGAUGGGUAUUUGGCAAAACCCUAGUUUUUCUAUCUCUCAUGGAAAAGGAUGUACUCUCCCAACUAUUGAAAUUACGUAUUCACAUGUUUUGUGAAAGUGUCAACUACUCUCACCCAUAAUAAGACUCCUCUUAUUUAUAGAUGUGGG